rnacentral:lncRNA from 1 species
GGGGUGUUUGGGAUGCGGCACGGCGAGGGGGAGCAGGCUUGGCUCGGGCGUAGGGAAUUGGUUUUUUUGUUUUAGCUAUCCAGGUUGUGACUGGUUUACAUAAUUACACGAUUAAGCCAUCAUUGUAGGAAAGGCUUUGCAGGAGAAAAAUGUCUUAACUGGAGGUCUUUGAGACAGAAAAACCCUGCCUCAGCCCUUGGGUCCUGAGAGUCGCGUUUCUUCUCCCCUUCGCUUAAAUAUGUAAACCAGAAUCAUUAUGUUUGGUUCAUGGAACGGAGGAAAAAAAUCCGUGUGCAGGGUCGAGACUGUCGUGGCGGAAGCCGCAGCACCCGGGAGGCAGGAAAAGGAAACCUGGACACAGGCACGUAUGAGGGAAGACAAUGUGGAGAGGCAAGGAGAAGAUGGCCACCUGCAAGCCAAGGAGAGAGGCCUGGAACACACUCUUACUUCAUGGCCCUCAGAAGGAGGCCACCCUGUCAACACCUUGAGCUCAGACUUCAGCCUCCAGAGCUGUGAAAAAAGAAAUUUUUGUUGUUUAAGCCCCUCAGUUUGGGGUAAUUUCUUAUGGUGGCCCUAGCCAAUGAAUACAGGUCCCAAAUAACUCUUCAGUUUGGCCAUAUUUCCCUUACCUCUAGGGACUAAUUUCUAAGUGCCAGUUGUUUUCUUGACACCAACCAUUCAAGGUGGGUGAAGAGGGUCUGACAGGGCAGGACACCUAAUGGGAGUUACCCAGCUGUUGAGGGGGACGCAGGUCUGCUGGUCAAAUCAUCUGUCCUCUAUGAACUCAAUUUCUUCCAUGGGAGAAAGAGAAAUGCAACUCCUCACAGUCAAGAGUUGGCCUGUCACUAGGCUGCGGUCGUGUCUUGUUGAACAUAAACAACUUCACAGAAUGUUCUCAUGAAACAAGGCCACUCACAAAUUUAUACCUGCUUCCUGACAGCACCCAAUCCACAACAAAUGCCUGCUUCUCGGAACCCCCACACCCUGGCCCAUAUAAUGACCUAACACAAACCCGAAUCCUACAACCAGUCCUUCUAGUGCUUUCUCAGGGAGACGUGCUUCCCAUAGCAUGCUGGCUCCCUUGAGGCAGUGAGCCAAUGAACCCUAACUCUGUUCGUAGUUGUCUUUGAGACAUUAACAAGAGUUUUGACUUUAUUUUACAUAUACAUCAGUCAAUGGGGUACCCUCGCCCCCCACACUUCAGCCAGG